rnacentral:lncRNA from 1 species
CCUUAACGCCUUCUUAAACCCUUUAGUAUGCUCCUGACGAAUGGCCGCAUACAUCUCAGCCUGGGUGCUCUUCCAUUCUAACGAGGCCAUCUUCAGAUCGUCUCUUUCUUUCCGAAUAGCCUCCAGCUCAGACACGGUCUUCUUGACCGACUCCAGUUCCUUUGCCAGAUUGUCCCGUUCGGUCCUCGUCCGGAGGCUCAUAUUUCUCAGCUGUUCCUGGAGCGAAUGACUUUCAGCCAAC